CCUACGGGAGGCAGCAGUGAGGAAUAUUGGUCAAUGGACGCAAGUCUGAACCAGCCAUGCCGCGUGCAGGAAGACGGCUCUCUGAGUUGUAAACUGCUUUUGUACGAGGGUAAACGCAGUUCCGCGUAUCUGUCUGAAAGUAUCGUACGAAUCAGGAUAGGCUAACUCCGUGCCAGCAGCCGCGGUAAUACGGAGGAUUCAAGCUUUAUCCGGAUUUAUUGGGUUUAAAGGGUGCGUAGGCGGUUGGAUAAGUUAGAGGUGAAAGCCCGAGGCUCAACUUCGGAAUUGCCUCUGAUACUGUUCGGCUAGAGAGUAGUUGCGGUAGGCGGAAUUUAUGGUGUAGCGGUGAAAUGCUUAGAGAUCAUACAGAACACCGAUUGCGAAGGCAGCUGACCAAGCUACUUCUGACGUCGAGGCACGAAAGCGUGGGGAGCAAACAGGAUUAGAUACCCUUGUAGUC
rnacentral:rRNA from 1 species